rnacentral:rRNA from 1 species
GACGAACGCUGGCGGCGUGCUUAACACAUGCAAGUCGAACGGAAAGGCCCUGCUUUUGUGGGGUGCUCGAGUGGCGAACGGGUGAGUAACACGUGAGUAACCUGCCCUUGACUUUGGGAUAACUUCAGGAAACUGGGGCUAAUACCGGAUAGGAGCUCCUGCUGCAUGGUGGGGGUUGGAAAGUUUCGGCGGUUGGGGAUGGACUCGCGGCUUAUCAGCUUGUUGGUGGGGUAGUGGCUUACCAAGGCUUUGACGGGUAGCCGGCCUGAGAGGGUGACCGGACAAUUGGGGAGGGGGAUACGGCCCGAGCCCAUAGGGGGGGGAGGGGGGGGGAAUUUGGCAAAAGGGGCGGAGGCCGGAUGAGGAAAGGCCGGGGGGGGGAGGAGGGCCUUGGGGUGGGAAACCGCUUUGGCCUGUGAGGAAGGGUGAGGGAGGGGAAUGGGGAAAGAAACACGGGUAAACUACGG